AUACGGGUCCGUUUUACACCGAUGGAUCCUUCGGACCUGCGCAGUAGCCAGCGUGGCUUUGUGUGUGUCUGCCCGUGAGCCCCUGAUGCCAGGUUAAGAGUUUAUAGAAAUAGUCUGUAUGGAGAACCUCAAAAAAUCUCUAAAGAUGCCGCUCUUUGGGAACACGUUCAGUCCGAAGAAAACACCUCCCCGCAGAUCGGCUUCCUUGUCCAGCCUUCAUACGUUGGAUAGAUCAACAAGGGAAGUCGAGCUGGGCCUUGAAUAUGGACCUCCUGUGAUGAACAUCGGAGGUCAAAGCAUGAAAUUUGAAGACGGACAGUGGAUAACAGAAUCCGGCGAGAAUACAUCUGGCAGGGAAGCACAGAGGCUCAAGAAAAGAAAUGUCCAACUGGAGGAGGAAAACAACCUCUUAAAACUAAAGAUUGAAAUCCUCAUGGACAUGUUGACAGAGACGACCGUAGAGUACCACCUGAUGGAGAAAGAAGUAGAAGAUGUCAAAACACAUCAAAGGAAGAAAUGACUGUUAUUCAACCUGCAUUUUCUGCAGGAAAUGCACUUUCUAGUUCUUGUUAAAUAUGUCUCUGGGAACACAAACCUAAAGAUGCUGUUAAUUUUUAGAAAAGUUUUCUGCAAUUUAAUUAUUUAAGGUCCCAAUUCUACACCUAAAGUAAAUGGUUGAGAGAGAUUGUUUUGAAAUAUAAAUGCGACCAAAAAGAGAAAUAUCUGUUGUCAGCAUCCUUUGUAAUAUGAUCUUGUUUUGAAAUAUAAAUGCGACCAAAAAGAGAAAUAUCUGUUGUCAGUAUCCUUUGUGAUAUGAUCUUCAAGAAUUUGACAGUAGCUUUAGUGGGGAUAACAUUUAUUGCCACAAGGUGGCAGUCGUGAAUAGCUAAAAAUUCUAAUUUUUACAAGUUAAGCUGCAAACAUGAUGCUUUAGAAAAUAAAUGUACUUAAUCAAUAGCCUUUGGAGUCUGUUAAAUAUUUCUCAAAAGUAAAGAAGGGUCAUCCAGAGACCUGGGGCCUCAUUGGCGAUGUCUGUGUGCCGGUUCAUAUUUAUAGUUUGUGGGGAAUAUUAAUGCCAGGGGUGACCUCACGCUCUGAUUAUGACAAUUAUUAUUUAUUGAUCUCUUCUUUUUUAUUAACAGAAAAAAAAGUAUUGAUGAUUUAUACACUGGAAUUGUAUAUGUAUCUACCUAGAUACCCAAGUAGAUGGUAAUUGAAGUGUGUCAUAAUAAUAAUAACAAACACAUUCUUAUAGUGGGACCCCGAGUUCCACAAUGCACAGGGAAUUCAUCUUACGCCUUCACUUACAAACACAGACCAGCUGUGUCUCAAUUCGGAGGCCACAUUUAAAGACCAAUUGCAUCAGAGUGGAGGGACCUGGCUGUCCCAUUUUUGUUUCUCAUUUUUUAAAUGCUAUUUUAAAAGGUACAAUACAAACAAUUAUUAUUAUUAUUAUUAUCAAUAAUAUUCUAUCGCGGGAUUAAUUCUGGGACCUUUGCUGGUUAUAAGUCUGAGCCAAAGAUGAUCUAAAACAAAUGUUGGUAUAAAGGUGAAUAAAAUCUCACAUGGGAAAAUAUGGAAAUUGCGCACACAGAAAAAAUGUAUUUUAAAAUCAAAUCUGGAAUUUCAAAAAACUUGGCAAAAACAUGGGAUGGAGGAAAGACGGCAGGUGUGACUAUGGUAUGCAGCUAUUGGUUUAUAGGAUGGCUAUAACUUCUGUGGGAAGAACAGUUCCACUAUUGAGUCUGCGGUUAGGCCACCGUGGACUGGCCUUGUAGGACUGAGACCAUAAAACAUGUUCGCCUGCAGUUUGUAAAAUACUAUAUUACUCUAAAAUACUAUAGAAUAAUAAUACUAUCUUACACAUAGAAUUAGUUGGGGUAGAAUAAACUGUCUCCAAUGUGGUGACCUCACUCGGCUUAGAAUUCAAAGAGCUCCUUCAUUGCUUCAAGCUGUUCGAGUUUUAUGAGCUGUUGCAGUGGCGGUGAUCGCCCUGAGGGAGGCAGCGAUGCGCCGUCGAUGCGUUUAGCCAGUCAAGAAGAAGACAGCGGAUGACGUCACGGUGGGUCUUCACUUGACGUGUGUGUUGCGGCAGCGGGAGAGUUUCCAACCUUUUCACUUCGGGCUCUUUAAACUCCCGCUUCUAACCGCGCGACUGUCCGCUUCUCCGGCGACACAGCAGCUGAGUCCACCCGUACAAACACCGCUUCCAAUCAUGCCUCGAGGGGGGAAAAAGAACCACAAGGGCCGGGGAAAGCAGUUCAGCAACCCCGAGGAGAUCGACCGACAAAUGAAAGCACAGAAGGAGUUGG